rnacentral:rRNA from 1 species
AGCGAACAGGAUUAGAUACCCUGGUAGUCCACGCCGUAAACGGUGGGCACUAGUUGUGGGGACCUUCCACGGUCUCCGCGACGCAGCUAACGCAUUAAGUGCCCCGCCUGGGGAGUACGAUCGCAAGAUUAAAACUCAAAGGAAUUGACGGGGCCCCGCACAAGCAGCGGAGCAUGCGGCUUAAUUCGACGCAACGCGAAGAACCUUACCAAGGCUUGACAUAUACAGGAAUAUGGCAGAGAUGUCAUAGCCGCAAGGUCUGUAUACAGGUGGUGCAUGGUUGUCGUCAGCUCGUGUCGUGAGAUGUUGGGUUAAGUCCCGCAACGAGCGCAACCCUCGUUCUGUGUUGCCAGCAUUUAGUUGGGGACUCACAGGAGACUGCCGGGGCUAACUCGGAGGAAGGUGGGGAUGACGUCAAAUCAUCAUGCCCCUUAUGUCUUGGGCUGCACGCAUGCUACAAUGGCUGGUACAAACGGCUGCAAUACCGCAAGGUGGAGCGAAUCCGAGAAAGCCAGUCUCAGUUCGGAUUGGGGUCUGCAACUCGACCCCAUGAAGUCGGAGUUGCUAGUAAUCGUAGAUCAGCAACGCUACGGUGAAUACGUUCCCGGGGCUUGUACACACCGCCCGUCACGUCACGAAAGUCGGUAACACCCGAAGUCAGUGGCCCAA